rnacentral:rRNA from 1 species
GAUGAACGCUGGCGGCGUGCCUAAUACAUGCAAGUCGAGCGAACAGACGAGGAGCUUGCUCCUCUGACGUUAGCGGCGGACGGGUGAGUAACACGUGGAUAACCUACCUAUAAGACUGGGAUAACUUCGGGAAACCGGAUCUAAUACCGGAUCAUAUAUUGAACCGCAUGGUUCAAUAGAGAAAGACGGCUUUGCUGUUACUUAUAGAUGGAUCCGCGCCGCAUUAGCUAGUUGGUAAGGUAACGGCUUACCAAGGCGACGAUGCGUAGCCGACCGGAGAGGGUGAUCGGCCACACUGGAACUGAGACACGGUCCAGACUCCUACGGGAGGCAGCAGUAGGGAAUCUUCGGCAAUGGGCGAAAGCCUGACGGAGCAACGCCGCGUGAGUGAUGAAGGUCUUCGGAUCGUAAAACUCUGUUAUUAGGGAAGAACAAAUGUGUAAGUAACUAUGCACGUCUUGACGGUACCUAAUCAGAAAGCCACGGCUAACUACGUG